rnacentral:rRNA from 2 species
UUAAGCGACUAAGCGUACACGGUGGAUGCCCUGGCAGUCAGAGGCGAUGAAGGACGUGCUAAUCUGCGAUAAGCGUCGGUAAGGUGAUAUGAACCGUUAUAACCGGCGAUUUCCGAAUGGGGAAACCCAGUGUGUUUCGACACACUAUCAUUAACUGAAUCCAUAGGUUAAUGAGGCGAACCGGGGGAACUGAAACAUCUAAGUACCCCGAGGAAAAGAAAUCAACCGAGAUUCCCCCAGUAGCGGCGAGCGAACGGGGAGCAGCCCAGAGCCUGAAUCAGUGUGUGUGUUAGUGGAAGCGUCUGGAAAGGCGCGCGAUACAGGGUGACAGCCCCGUACACAAAAAUGCACAUGCUGUGAGCUCGAUGAGUAGGGCGGGACACGUGGUAUCCUGUCUGAAUAUGGGGGGACCAUCCUCCAAGGCUAAAUACUCCUGACUGACCGAUAGUGAACCAGUACCGUGAGGGAAAGGCGAAAAGAACCCCGGCGAGGGGAGUGAAAAAGAACCUGAAACCGUGUACGUACAAGCAGUGGGAGCACGCUUAGGCGUGUGACUGCGUACCUUUUGUAUAAUGGGUCAGCGACUUAUAUUCUGUAGCAAGGUUAACCGAAUAGGGGAGCCGAAGGGAAACCGAGUCUUAACUGGGCGUUAAGUUGCAGGGUAUAGACCCGAAACCCGGUGAUCUAGCCAUGGGCAGGUUGAAGGUUGGGUAACACUAACUGGAGGACCGAACCGACUAAUGUUGAAAAAUUAGCGGAUGACUUGUGGCUGGGGGUGAAAGGCCAAUCAAACCGGGAGAUAGCUGGUUCUCCCCGAAAGCUAUUUAGGUAGCGCCUCGUGAAUUCAUCUCCGGGGGUAGAGCACUGUUUCGGCAAGGGGGUCAUCCCGACUUACCAACCCGAUGCAAACUGCGAAUACCGGAGAAUGUUAUCACGGGAGACACACGGCGGGUGCUAACGUCCGUCGUGAAGAGGGAAACAACCCAGACCGCCAGCUAAGGUCCCAAAGUCAUGGUUAAGUGGGAAACGAUGUGGGAAGGCCCAGACAGCCAGGAUGUUGGCUUAGAAGCAGCCAUCAUUUAAAGAAAGCGUAAUAGCUCACUGGUCGAGUCGGCCUGCGCGGAAGAUGUAACGGGGCUAAACCAUGCACCGAAGCUGCGGCAGCGACGCUGAUGCGUUGUUGGGUAGGGGAGCGUUCUGUAAGCCUGCGAAGGUGUGCUGUGAGGCAUGCUGGAGGUAUCAGAAGUGCGAAUGCUGACAUAAGUAACGAUAAAGCGGGUGAAAAGCCCGCUCGCCGGAAGACCAAGGGUUCCUGUCCAACGUUAAUCGGGGCAGGGUGAGUCGACCCCUAAGGCGAGGCCGAAAGGCGUAGUCGAUGGGAAACAGGUUAAUAUUCCUGUACUUGGUGUUACUGCGAAGGGGGGACGGAGAAGGCUAUGUUGGCCGGGCGACGGUUGUCCCGGUUUAAGCGUGUAGGCUGGUUUUCCAGGCAAAUCCGGAAAAUCAAGGCUGAGGCGUGAUGACGAGGCACUACGGUGCUGAAGCAACAAAUGCCCUGCUUCCAGGAAAAGCCUCUAAGCAUCAGGUAACAUCAAAUCGUACCCCAAACCGACACAGGUGGUCAGGUAGAGAAUACCAAGGCGCUUGAGAGAACUCGGGUGAAGGAACUAGGCAAAAUGGUGCCGUAACUUCGGGAGAAGGCACGCUGAUAUGUAGGUGAAGUCCCUCGCGGAUGGAGCUGAAAUCAGUCGAAGAUACCAGCUGGCUGCAACUGUUUAUUAAAAACACAGCACUGUGCAAACACGAAAGUGGACGUAUACGGUGUGACGCCUGCCCGGUGCCGGAAGGUUAAUUGAUGGGGUUAGCGCAAGCGAAGCUCUUGAUCGAAGCCCCGGUAAACGGCGGCCGUAACUAUAACGGUCCUAAGGUAGCGAAAUUCCUUGUCGGGUAAGUUCCGACCUGCACGAAUGGCGUAAUGAUGGCCAGGCUGUCUCCACCCGAGACUCAGUGAAAUUGAACUCGCUGUGAAGAUGCAGUGUACCCGCGGCAAGACGGAAAGACCCCGUGAACCUUUACUAUAGCUUGACACUGAACAUUGAGCCUUGAUGUGUAGGAUAGGUGGGAGGCUUAGAAGUGUGGACGCCAGUCUGCAUGGAGCCGACCUUGAAAUACCACCCUUUAAUGUUUGAUGUUCUAACGUUGACCCGUGAUCCGGGUUGCGGACAGUGUCUGGUGGGUAGUUUGACUGGGGCGGUCUCCUCCUAAAGAGUAACGGAGGAGCACGAAGGUUGGCUAAUCCUGGUCGGACAUCAGGAGGUUAGUGCAAUGGCAUAAGCCAGCUUGACUGCGAGCGUGACGGCGCGAGCAGGUGCGAAAGCAGGUCAUAGUGAUCCGGUGGUUCUGAAUGGAAGGGCCAUCGCUCAACGGAUAAAAGGUACUCCGGGGAUAACAGGCUGAUACCGCCCAAGAGUUCAUAUCGACGGCGGUGUUUGGCACCUCGAUGUCGGCUCAUCACAUCCUGGGGCUGAAGUAGGUCCCAAGGGUAUGGCUGUUCGCCAUUUAAAGUGGUACGCGAGCUGGGUUUAGAACGUCGUGAGACAGUUCGGUCCCUAUCUGCCGUGGGCGCUGGAGAACUGAGGGGGGCUGCUCCUAGUACGAGAGGACCGGAGUGGACGCAUCACUGGUGUUCGGGUUGUCAUGCCAAUGGCACUGCCCGGUAGCUAAAUGCGGAAGAGAUAAGUGCUGAAAGCAUCUAAGCACGAAACUUGCCCCGAGAUGAGUUCUCCCUGACCCUUUAAGGGUCCUGAAGGAACGUUGAAGACGACGACGUUGAUAGGCCGGGUGUGUAAGCGCAGCGAUGCGUUGAGCUAACCGGUACUAAUGAACCGUGAGGCUUAACCUU